UACGUAGGGGGCUAGCGUUGUCCGGAUUUAUUGGGCGUAAAGAGCGUGUAGGCGGCCAGGUAGGUCUGCUGUGAAAACUUGAGGCUCAACCUCGAGAUGUCGGCGGAAACCAUCUGGCUAGAGUCCGGAAGAGGAGAGUGGAAUUCCUGGUGUAGCGGUGGAAUGCGCAGAUAUCAGGAAGAACACCCGUGGCGAAGGCGGCUCUCUGGAA
rnacentral:rRNA from 1 species